rnacentral:rRNA from 1 species
UACGUAGGGCGCAAGCGUUGUCCGGAAUUAUUGGGCGUAAAGAGCUCGUAGGCGGCCUGUUGCGUCCGCUGUGAAAUCCCGGGGCUCAACCCCGGGCCUGCAGUGGAUACGGGCUGGCUAGAGGCAGGCAGGGGAGAACGGAAUUCCUGGUGUAGUGGUGAAAUGCGCAGAUAUCAGGAGGAACACCGGUGGCGAAGGCGGUUCUCUGGGCCUGUACUGACGCUGAGGAGCGAAAGCGUGGGGAGCGAACAGG